rnacentral:rRNA from 1 species
GAUGAACGCUGACAGAAUGCUUAACACAUCAGCAAUUGAUUGGUGGCGGACGGGUGAGUAACGCGUAAAGAACUUGCCUCACAGCUAGGGACAACAUUUGGAAACGAAUGCUAAUACCUAAACCUGUGAGAGCGGUUUGGGUCCCAUUGGCUAGUUGGAGAGGUAACGGCCCACCAAGGCGAUGAUGGGUAGCCGGCCUGAGAGGGUGAUCGGCCACAAGGGGACGGGGACACGGCACUUACUCCUACUGGAGGCAGCAGUGGGGAAUAUUGGAGAAUGGACCAAAGUCUGAUCCAGCAAUUCGGUGUGCACGAUGAAGUUUUCGGAAUGUAAAGUGCUUUCAGUUGGGAAGCGGUACCAACAGAAGAAGUGACGGCUAAAUACGUGCCAGCAGCCGCGGUAAUAC